rnacentral:rRNA from 1 species
GAUGAACGCUGGCGGCGUGCCUAAUACAUGCAAGUCGAGCGAACAGAUGAGGAGCUUGCUCCUCUGUCGUUAGCGGCGGCCGGGUGAGUAACACGUGGAUAACCUACCUAUACGACUGGGAUAACUUCGGGAAACCGGCGCUAAUACCGGAUAAUAUAUUGAACCGCAUGGUUCAAUAGUGAAAGACGGUUUUGCUGUCACUUAUAGAUGGAUCCGCGCCGCAUUAGCUAGUUGGUAAGGUAACGGCUUACCAAGGCAACGAUGCGUAGCCGACCUGAGAGGGUGAUCGGCCACACUGGAACUGAGACACGGUCCAGACUCCUACGGGAGGCAGCAGUAGGGAAUCUUCCGCAAUGGGCGAAAGCUUGACGGAGCAACGCCGCGUGAGUGAUGAAGGUCUUCGGAUCGUAAAACUCUGUUAUUAGGGAAGAACAAAUGUGUAAGUAACUAUGCACGUCUUGACGGUACCUAAUCAGAAAGCCACGGCUAACUACGUG